UACAGAGGUCUCGAGCGUUGUUCGGAUUCAUUGGGCGUAAAGGGCGCGUAGGCGGAUUGUUAAGUCAGGGGUGAAAUCCUGGAGCUCAACUCCAGAACUGCCUUUGAUACUGGCGAUCUCGAGUCCGGGAGAGGUGAGUGGAACUGCGAGUGUAGAGGUGAAAUUCGUAGAUAUUCGCAAGAACACCAGUGGCGAAGGCGGCUCACUGGCCCGGUACUGACGCUGAGGUGCGAAAGCGUGGGGAGCAACAGG
rnacentral:rRNA from 1 species